rnacentral:rRNA from 1 species
GAUGAACGCUGGCGGCGUGCUUAACACAUGCAAGUCGAACGGUGAACACGGAGCUUGCUCUGUGGGAUCAGUGGCGAACGGGUGAGUAACACGUGAGCAACCUGCCCCUGACUCUGGGAUAAGCGCUGGAAACGGCGCCUAAUACUGGAUAUGUGACGUGACCGCAUGGUCUGCGUUUGGAAAGAUUUUUCGGUUGGGGAUGGGCUCGCGGCCUAUCAGCUUGUUGGUGAGGUAAUGGCUCACCAAGGCGUCGACGGGUAGCCGGCCUGAGAGGGUGACCGGCCACACUGGGACUGCGACACGGCGCAGACUCCUACGGGAGGCAGCAGUGGGGAAUAUUGCACAAUGGGCGCAAGCCUGAUGCAGCAACGCCGCGUGAGGGAUGACGGCCUUCGGGUUGUAAACCUCUUUUAGCAGGGAAGAAGCGAAAGUGACGGUACCUGCAGAAAAAGCGCCGGCUAACUACGUG